GAUGAACGCUGGCGGCGUGCCUAAUACAUGCAAGUCGAGCGAACGGACGAGAAGCUUGCUUCUCUGAUGUUAGCGGCGGACGGGUGAGUAACACGUGGAUAACCUACCUAUAAGACUGGGAUAACUUCGGGAAACCGGAGCUAAUACCGGAUAAUAUUUUGAACCGCAUGGUUCAAAAGUGAAAGACGGUCUUGCUGUCACUUAUAGAUGGAUCCGCGCUGCAUUAGCUAGUUGGUAAGGUAACGGCUUACCAAGGCAACGAUGCAUAGCCGACCUGAGAGCGUGAUCGUCCACACUAGAACUGAGCCACGGUCCAGACUCCUACGGGAGGCAGCAGUAGGGAAUCUUCCGCAAUGGGCGAAAGCCUGACGGAGCAAAGCCGCGUGAGUGAUGAAGGUCUUCGGAUCGUAAAACUCUGUUAUUAGGGAAGAACAUAUGUGUAAGUAACUGUGCACAUCUUGACGGUACCUAAUCAGAAAGCCACGGCUAACUACGUG
rnacentral:rRNA from 1 species